rnacentral:lncRNA from 1 species
UGACAGAGCCAGGACUAGAGCUCAGGCCUCCCAUGCCACACCGUUAAAGUAGAGUGCUUUCAUUUAUAGCCCUGUCUGUAUUUGUAGGGCAGCUGAGGCAUUUCUGCAUUGGUAGCAAUCCUUUCAGCAAACCCGGGACUGCAAACUGCUUGAAACUCUUACCAGUGAUGCUCUCACUGACAAACAGGUGACUAAAUCAAGAAGGCCAACAGGUAUCGGGGAGGGCAGAGUGGCUGCCAAAUAAUGAACUGGAACCACAGUCUCAGAUUCACAGCAGCAUGUGUGGAAUGAACCUGCCGUGCCAGUGUCAGGCUUUUAGCCCAGCUGUGAGCACAGGGCCUUCCAGAUGUGACAUUUGACUUCCAGAGCAAGUUCAUCAGUGUCACCUGGCACAUAGUCAUUCCGGCAACAUUUCAACUCCAUUCCCUGCCAUGGUGCGGGGUAAGACCCAGGCAGCACGCCAAGACAGCAGGCCACUCCAGAAGCUGUUGUUUGAGAGCUGAAGGCAGGCUUCAAAGGCGUGCAGCUGGGGGUGACGGGAAAGCAGACUUCAGCGGCUGACAGGCCUGUCUGAGCAAAGCCCUCAGGAAUCAGGACUCUUUGAAUCAGAAGCUGAUGCCAUUUAGAUAGAAAUCUCAUGGUUAAAGGGGGGGGGGGGCUAGGAUGGGUGGAUUCAUACAAAAUAAAAAACCUGGGGGGAAAAAAAUCUCCUGGGUUAAACCACAAAAGUCAACAUGUUCUGCCAACUACAGAGAUGCUGAAGGGGUUACAGCAGUAAAAGACUCUGGGUCCCCUGCCCUUUCCAACCAAUCCAGAUACACAGACUAUUACCCAUUUUCAACACUUUCAAGGCCAACCUUUUCCACCCUUUCCGUGCAGUUAUGACUUGACCUGAGGUCGCCAGAGUUAAUCUCCACCUCUCGUAUGGAUAAAGGCAUCAGAAGGGAACAAUAGCGGGCAGGCAGUUUCUCACAGAGAAGCCAGAGGCAACUGGCUUCUAGAACAGACCAAACACCCUUUCCCCACUCCCUCACACAAUGAGAGUGAGUAUUUAGCACUCCUGGUCGGAUCAUUUGCCCCUGGUAGGAGAGUUAGCUUCCCCCCCUCCCCCAUCCCACCCUACUCCCGAGAAUCCCCUCUUGAUUGGAGAAGCAUGAAAAUAGGAAUAGGGAUAUUCCUGAUUCCAGAAACUUCUUUUCAAAAGGAAGCUUCUUGGCAACGUGAAAUGUAAGAUCCCAAUCUAUAAAACUCUGCUGAUGUACACGUCCUGGAUGCUGUCGCCCUUAGCCUUUUAGACACGCUGCAGUGUAUGGCUUCUUCCAGAUCAAUAACCAUGUAGCGGCCUAGGUGCUGACCUCGUAAAGUUAAAGAGGUCCCGUGAUUUACACAUGACAUGCUUUAGGGAAUGAUCUAUAUAGAAAAAUCUAUUCUCCUCUUGGAAUAUAUUAUAAAAUAAGCAAGCCUUUUCAUAAUAUUUAAACUCAGCUCUAAAAGUAGGCAAACGAAGAAUGCAACAGGUCUGCGAGGAACUCAGAGCAUGCUUGUUGAAUGAAUGAACUAAGGGAUGAAUGCAAUGCAAGGGGGAAAAGCUACACCUAACCACAGCAGAGCAAAACUCACACAGUCAUCUAGGGUAGGAAAGAGAUAUUCAUCCUGAACACAUAAGGAAUACGCCACAGAAAGGGAGACAGACAAAUGCAGAGGUGCCUCCUACAGGCAUGUCCUUCCAAGGAUAAUAAGAGGGAGCUAUCACUCAUUUCCAGGAAAUAUAAAAAAAAAAGAUUAGCCUAGAAGACUAUGGGUGUCACCCUGGCCUUUUCCUCUCCUGUUAACAUUGACUGCUUUUGUGUCUGUGUUCCCCAGAUGCUGGUACUUCCCUCUCUUCUCUGUGCUUUGUAUCCUUAUUUCUUAGGUGAGUAUUCUGUUGCUGUACCUUGGUUUUAUAGUCAGCUCUUGGCUUUCAUUUGGAUUUCAAAGUUUUAUAUCUGAAUCAAACUGUUGUUCUUUGCCACAGGGAUUUAAUUGCUCCCAAUACGCCUCCCAUAUUUUCAUUGUCCACGCUCUCUUCCAUAUGUUCUGUUUCCGGUUUUAGAUGAUCAUGCUUGAGAUCCCAAUCUCCGCUUCCUUAAGUUUAGAAAAUGCAAACUUGGCUGACAGAUACGGCUAAAAGCAUAGCUACACGUUACCUAAGGGUGGGUUAGAAUUCAGAAAUCUUAGCACACGCUAAUAGGGAAUUUUACUGAACACUUACUCUAUGGGCCUAGCACUGUAUCUGUUUCAUAAGAUAAAAUCAGCCACGUGCUGGAACUGGCUUAUACCAGCUCACAAAUGCGAAUUUUGCACCUCUCUUUCUAACACCCCGUUCAGUGACUUCAUGUCAGGAGCUUGAAAUCCACCAUGAUGGGGGUAUAUAUACAACAGAUAUCAACAAAUUCUACAAAACACAUUUUUUAAAAGAGACCCAGUUGUUUAACAUCUAUCAACACUGACACAACCUAAUUGUUUAACUUAAAAUUCAUCAUUUUUACAGUCCUGCUACUCAAUUGUUGCUGUGAGUGAGCACUAAAUACAUGGUAACUUAAGAUAUAAAAGUUAUUGAAGUAAGCAGAAUAUCCACGAGCCAGAAAUAUUUUAAAAAGACCUUUAAAGUCGUUUUCAGGCGGCACCAGGUAGUUAUUUUAUGCUGUAAAAUAAAAGAUAACAUUUCUUAAAUGCAAAUAUUUCUCCUACACAGCAUACUUACAAUCACAUUGUGAAGUCAAUAAAGGUUUAUUGGCGUUCCCGUCGUGGCACGGUGAUUAACGAAUCCGACUAGGAACCAUGAGGUUUCGGGUUCGAUCCCUGGCCUUGCACAGUGGGUUAAGGAUCCAGCAUUGCCGUCAGCUGUGGUGGUAGGUCACAAUCACAGCUCGGAUCCUGCGUGGCUGUGGCUGUGGCUGAGGUGUAGGCCGGCAGCUGUAGCUCCGAUUAGACCCCUAGCCUGGAAACCUCCAUAUGCCACGAGUGCGGCCC